rnacentral:misc_RNA from 1 species
CAUAACUCGAACGGCACAGUGGCAGAGAUGUGUCCAAUCAGUACACAGCGUUCCAGGAUAUCUGGUUGUCAAGAAGGUACCUCAUGUUGCGGGCGUAGGCCUUAAUGCCAUCCAUGGAGUCGUCAUCUGUCCACAUCUCAUCGUCAUCGUUUUCUUCGUCCGUUUCAGGAUCCGUCUCUGGAGUGGCGGCUGGCGUUGGCCCUAACGUUUCUUGUGGUGGCUGUGGAGCUGGGGCAGCCACUGUUGCUGCUGCGAUUGUUGGUGGAUUUUGCGAUGUCACUGGAACUGCUGGAACUGCUGGAGUUGCCGUCACUGCCUGGGAUUGGAUGAGCGAGUGCCUGGCUGCAGGAUCCCUCGCAGGAUUGGCGUUUCGGCUUCAUCUUCUGCCGGGAGCGGUUGUUGGCAGGCUGCUGCUGCUGUCGCUGUCGCUGUUGU